rnacentral:rRNA from 1 species
GACGAACGCUGGCGGCGUGCUUAACACAUGCAAGUCGAACGGAAAGGCCCUGCUUGCAGGGUACUCGAGUGGCGAACGGGUGAGUAACACGUGGGUGAUCUGCCCUGCACUUCGGGAUAAGCCUGGGAAACUGGGUCUAAUACCGGAUAGGAGCCAUUUUGAGUGUGAUGGUUGGAAAGUUUUUUCGGUGUAGGAUGAGCUCGCGGCCUAUCAGCUUGUUGGUGGGGUAAUGGCCUACCAAGGCGGCGACGGGUAGCCGGCCUGAGAGGGUGGACGGCCACAUUGGGACUGAGAUACGGCCCAGACGCCUACGGGAGGCAGCAGUGGGGAAUAUUGCACAAUGGGCGCAAGCCUGAUGCAGCGACGCCGCGGGGGGGAUGACGGCCUUCGGGUUGUAAACUCCUUUCGCUAGGGACGAAGCUUUUUGUGACGGUACCUAGAGAAGAAGCACCGGCUAACUACGUG